GCCAGACUCCUACGGGAGGCAGCAGUGAGGAAUAUUGGUCAAUGGCCGCAGGGCUGAACCAGCCAAGUCGCGUGAGGGAUGACGGUCCUAUGGAUUGUAAACCUCUUUUGUCAGGGAGCAAAGGGCGCCACGUGUGGCGUUUUGCGAGUACCUGAAGAAAAAGCAUCGGCUAACUCCGUGCCAGCAGCCGCGGUAAUACGGAGGAUGCGAGCGUUAUCCGGAUUUAUUGGGUUUAAAGGGUGCGCAGGCGGAAUGUCAAGUCAGCGGUAAAAUUGCGGGGCUCAACCCCGUCGUGCCGUUAAAACUGGCGUUCUUGAGUGAGCGAGGAGUAUGCGGAAUGCGUGGUGUAGCGGUGAAAUGCAUAGAUAUCACGCAGAACUCCGAUUGCGAAG
rnacentral:rRNA from 1 species